CUCUCAUCGCGUUAGGGUUUCCGAGUUGAAGGCUUGCCGGAGAUUCUCGGAGCUGAGGGAUCAUAAAUGCUUUCUGGGGAGCAUAGCCUAUCUUGUAUAUUGCCAUUGUCAUGACAGAAGCAUAUGGAAUCUCAAUCUCACGAUGCCUCAUAAGUAAUUCAAAACUGCUACAGGGAACAGGAAAAAUAAAGCCAUGGCACAUGCUAAAAUGAUCCCCCAGUAUGGUAGCUGCAGCUGUCCAUUGAAUCCUUGACAGGUGAAGAAGGACAGACAUAAACUUAUUACCAAGAUGGUGG